UAUGCAGAUAUUAAAUACUGUAUAAGUAAUAUCAUGUUCGUUAGUUGGUUUUAUGAGGUUUGUUAUUCAUGUAUAAAAUUGGUAUAGUGUUGGUUUGCAAUUUACAAACUCGCAUAACUAACACAUGUAUAAAUUAUGAGGAAAUCUAUGUAUUAUUGUAUGUAGGAUAUAAAAGAUGAAAAUUAAUACUACAUGAAUAACUAAUACCUACAUAACUCUAACGAGCUACCAAAUGACCCCUAACUAGUGAGGUCCCAAUUUUUGGUGGACGGAACAUGAUGAGUGCAAUCCAAUGGUUGAUAUUUCACCCCCUUAGUUAGAGUUUUUUUUUUUUUUUCUCAAAAUGAAACCUUUCCUGAUAGAGUACUUUAUUUUCUUUCAUAAGUCACUUCGAUUCGAAUUUAAUUAAUCUGAGUCAAGAAAUUUAUAUGUUGAAUAUUUAAACUUUAAAGCAAAAGAAAAAAGUUGAGUGUAUCGUGGUCUAACAUCAUAUACACGUAAAAAGUUGUGUGCCAAGCGUGUACCUAUCUUUUUCAUUCUUUAUUUUUUUUCUAUUGCAUUAUUGCAUAUAUCACUCUCAAUUCUCCUUUCUUUCUGCAAGCUUCUAGCAUUUACUUCUCAAACUCUUUUCUUUCCUUUCUGUUUAUGUGAGUUUUAGCUUUGUUUCGUCGACAAGAAAGAUCGAUCCACAAGUAGUUUUAAUAGACAAGGAGGCAGAAAUUGCAGUAAUCAAACUACAAGAUGUAUGUACUAGUGAUUUCGUUGCCUUUGAUUAUAUUGGUCUUGAUAAUAGCCAUUGUUUGUUACCUGUGUGGAAGGUCAUGUUAGAAAUGAUCAAAGACGUUUGGAAAUUUUCUUUGUUGUAUUUGAAUUUAUACAAGUAUGUAGAAUAAAAAGUAAAAUCAUAUCUAAUUUUUCUAAAUUUUAUUAUCUAAGAAAAUAACUUUCCAACUAA